rnacentral:rRNA from 1 species
UGGUAGGGAUGAUUAUUGGGCUUAAAGCGUCCGUAGCCGGCCCAGCAAGUCUUCCGUUAAAUCCAGCGACUUAAUCGUUGGGCUGCGGGAGAUACUGUUGGGCUAGGGGGCGGGAGAGGCCGACGGUAUUCUCGGGGUAGGGGUGAAAUCCUAUAAUCCCGGGAAGACCACCAGUGGCGUAG